GACGAACGCUGGCGGCGUGCCUAACACCUGCAAGUCGAGCGGAGAUAUAGGAGCUUGCUUUUAUAUCUUAGCGGCGGACGGGUGAGUAACGCGUGGGUAGCCUGCCUUACACAGGUGGAUAACACAGGGCAACUUGUGCUAAUACCGCGUACGACAACGACCUCGCAUCAUGAUGUAGUAAAAGGCGAAUUGCGGUGUAAGAUGGACCCGCCUCCGAUUAGCUAGUUGGUGAGGUAACGGCCCACCAAGGCGACGAUCGGUAGCCGAACUGAGAGGUUGGUCGGCCACAUUGGGACUGAGGCACGGCCCAGACUCCUACGGGAGGCAGCAGUGGGGAAUGUUGCGCAAUGGGGGAAACCCUGACGCAGCAACGCCGCUUGAAGGAUGAAGGUUUUCGGAUUGUAAACUUCUUUAGUCGGGGACGAAAAAAUGACGGUACCCGAAGAAUAAGCCACGGCUAACUACGUGCCAGCCGCCGCUGUAA
rnacentral:rRNA from 1 species